GUCCACGCCGUAAACGAUGAGUGCUAGGUGCUGUGGGUAUUGACCCCUGCGGUGCCGCAGCUAACGCGUUAAGCACUCCGCCUGGGGAGUACGGCCGCAAGGCUAAAACUCAAAGGAAUUGACGGGGGCCCGCACAAGCGGUGGAGCAUGUGGUUCAAUUCGACGCAACGCGCAGAACCUUACCUGGGUUAAAUCCACUCGAACUUGACAGAGAUGUCUUGGUGCCCUUCGGGGAGCGAGUGAGAAGGUGCUGCAUGGCUGUCGU
rnacentral:rRNA from 1 species